rnacentral:lncRNA from 1 species
UAUGAUUAAAAUAUGUUUUUAAUCAAUACAUUAUAAAAAUUGUGAUGUUUAAAGUGGAAUGAAGGAAGAAAGUUUCUGUUUAUUGAGGCAUUGAUGAGGUCUUGCUUUCCACAUCAGUCGUCAGAGAGGAAGUGGGGAAGGAGUGAAGGUCACAUUCGUCACGCUUCGAGCGGGUCUCAGCGUAGGCCCAGAAUCAAAAGGUUUCUGAGAAGUAUUAAGACUGAAAACAAAAACCGUCCUACUGAACUGAAGAAAACAAAGCCGGUGAAUCCCAACUUGCGGGAAUCAAAGAGACCUUCCAGCUCCAGGCAGACCUCAUCCCAACUCCAGAGAAGACCACACUUCAGCUCUUGUCCAUAGGUGAGUAUCUGUCUAACUCUAAAAUUCUCCUGUUUUUAGAGGAAAGAAUUUUAUUUUGUUCUUCAAUGAAUAAAAAUUCUGAGGGUUUUCCCUUUGAAAACCUGAAUGCCUUGUACGUUAGCAGAGCUCACACUUAGGUGGUCAUCCAUCCUGGUAGGAUGCUG